ACGCUCGACACCUACGGGAAGCAGCAGUGGGGAAUAUUGCACAAUGGGGGAAACCCUGAUGCAGCGACGCCGCGUGAGCGAAGAAGUAUUUCGGUAUGUAAAGCUCUAUCAGCACGGGAAGAUAAUGACGGUACCUGACUAAGAAGCUCCGGCUAAAUACGUGCCAGUAGCCGCGGUAACUGAGCGGGCUGGCAAGGC
rnacentral:rRNA from 1 species